UACAGAGGUCUCGAGCGUUGUUCGGAUUCAUUGGGCGUAAAGGGCGCGUAGGCGGCGGGUAAGUCUGGUGUGAAAUCUCGGAGCUCAACUCCGAAAUUGCACUGGAUACUGCUCUGCUAGAGGGCUGGAGAGGAGAUCGGAAUUCACGGUGUAGCAGUGAAAUGCGUAGAUAUCGUGAGGAAGACAGUGGCGAAGGCGGAU
rnacentral:rRNA from 1 species